AGCUAUGUGAGUAAAAUUCGGAGUUAAGGAGGAGGGCUGGAUUUUAGCCUCAAAAUUGGGUUUAAUUGGUGGAUUUUAGACUAGAAAGUAUUGAGGAAAUAUAAGAUAAGGUUUGAGGCAAGAGGGAGGACCAAGCAUUAAUUGUUGAAGAUAUUUUGCUUGGAUUUUUGCUCAUCUUCCUUCGCACGUCAUCUUCACCGGUUCUUUCCCCUUUGCCGUCUCCUUUUAAAACGGAUUGAAGCCGACUCCCCUUCCUAAAGAACGAACCGCCUCUGCCUUCUUUCAUCUUAGUCUUCCUCGUUGCACCUUCGCCAAACCAACACCAAUUCUCAGCCACCAAUCCACUUUCGAGCUGCCUCUACUGUUUUUCCAUUCGUUCCUUCGAAGAUUGAAGCUGUUGUAUCCCCACCAACGUCCACGAAGCAGCUCCUCUCGUCCGCAUCUUCACCAGUCCACGCGUCUUCAGCUUCUUCGGUCAGAACCCCCAGCGAAGGACCACCGCUGUUGACUCCAAACCCACCGAAGAAAUCCCCAUGCGUCCGCCGAAGAUCAGCGAAGCCAGCUCGCCUUCUCCUCCGUUCCCCUUUGCCACGCUAGCCCACGUGUCUUCCAGCUACCAGAGUUGGUCAACCAACUGACUUCAACGUUGUGGAUUUCGGCCAGCUCAAAGACCAAGCGAAGCUGCUACCGCGCGUCUUCUGGUUGUCUGCCCACCGUCCGCGAGCAGCUCAGCAUCUUCGGUCUCCUCUGCCAACGAAUCCAGCCGCGUGAAGUCCAAGCGAAGCAGCUGCUCCUUCGCCGUUGAUCUUCACCGAGUCAGGCCCAACAUCACCGUAGCUCAGCCCACAUCAACGGCCCAGCAAGUUGCCAUUCUUCUGCAGCCCAUCUUCACGCAAGUCUGGCCCACAAGAAUCAGCCCAGCAGAAUUCAGUCUUUGAAGUUCAGGCCCAAGUUCAAUUGGUUUUAGCAGCCCAUUUUGGGCCCAAGAAGAAGGCCCAAGCCUGCGACCAGCAGCUUGUAGAAGCCCAAGACCUAAACUCAGCCUUGCUGAGUUGUGUUGGGCCCGUUUUAGGCCCGGUCCGAGAGUUCGCCGACACCGCCGAAAAUUAAGAUUUCGGCCGUCGUCGCGUCGUCAUCGCGGUGAACCGGUUUUCGCGAUACACCGGUGAGUUUAUACUCUAAACUCUGCUUAGUAGGUUAAUGACGUUUAAGGGGUGUUAGAUUUAUUUUAUUAGGAAUUAGGUGGUUAGUUAGAUUAAAUUAGAAAUGUAAUUAUUUAAUUGAGCAUGUUAGGUGGUUAGCAUGGUUUAGUUAAGGCCUAAACAAAUUGUACUAUUUAUCUAGAAGGGUUCGGGAAUUUCUCCGAGUCCAUAUUGGUUAUUAAUUCAAUGAUUUUGGCCUAGGUUAUUAUUUGUAGAAUUUAAAUUGAUUUAUUUAAUUGAUUUCAGUAAUUAUUUAAUUAUUAAUUAUUUUUCCGGAAAUUAGACCGGAAUAGCCGGUGAUCGGAAUUUCGUGCUGAUUGCAAUGGUAUGGUUAAUUUCUGCAAUUGAGUGCUAAAUUAUGCAAAUUGAGUGCUGAUUGGAUUUUUGGUAUUUAAUUCCAAAAAUUGUGAAUUUCCAAUAUUUUAUUCAGAAAAUCCCAUGUGUCGGGUUUUGAUACCGAAAAUGGUUUUUAGUACUAUAUGAAAUAGUGGGAUUUCAAAAAGGAGGAAUAUCAAUUUUUCUGGAUCAAGUUGACCGUGUACCCACACACGAGUAAUUUCAUGUGAAUUUCUAAUACGAAGAAAAAAAAGGCCAGGCUCACCAUUUUAAUUGAAGCAUUUAAGUGCAAUGCACGGUGUCCUGGGCCAUAUUUGAGUGAUCGUGUGAUGGUUAUGAGAAAUCGUCCCAGGCUGUUGAGCUGGACGUUAUCCCAAUGUGGGAUACCCCCUGGACAACGGGAAGCCGGUCGCAGUUGAUUCUGGACCCUAUGCUCCUUCGGGAAAGCCGUCUGAUAAAGAGACGUGCCGUGCUCAAUGGGGUGAGACGAAGCCUGGCAAUGCCAGAAGACCGCCGAACUGAGAGUAGGCCGUGCUAUAUGCCGAGAUCAAAACUAAGAACGCAUGAUUAAUUGAGUGUGGCGUUUCAAUUACUGGAGCUUAUUUGUUGCUCAUGCUCUCGUGUUGUCUGUGAGAUAAAUUGUACUGACCUGCAGGGUGGAUCUGAGACGAGGUGAGUCUCCUUGAUUGUGUGAUUGCGUGCUUAGGACGCUUCUUGGCGUAUUUCCCUCCUAAUUGGGGUUUAGAGCUUAGACUCGCUGAGAUGAUAUCUCACCCCGUUGUGGGACAACAUUUCAGGGUCGUCGAGUGGAGGACCUGGAGCUGAGAGGAGGUGAUCGGAAGCGUAGGUCAGUUAAGACCGCUUCUUUUUGGAAGGCCAGUCUUUUGUAGUCUUUUGGCCAUAGACUUGUGUUCAUGACUCAGUGUAUAUAUAAAGGCA
rnacentral:lncRNA from 1 species